rnacentral:misc_RNA from 1 species
GUAAUUAUUAAGUUUUUCAGACGCUGAAUAAAAAUUAAAAAGGUUAUAGGUUGUCCAAUCGGCAGGCAAGCCUGCCGAGGAAACAUGGGUACGCAAAAGACAAGGGUGUAAAAAGAAGGCCUGCUGCUCAUCAGCGAUUAAGCUAUACAGACUAACAGCCCCCUUAACAGUAGUAAACUACUGAGUGUAAUGAUCCUUCCGCAGGUUCACCUACGGAAA